AGUAGAGAUGGGGUUUCACCAUGUUGGUCAGGCUGGUCUUGAACUCCUGACCUCAGGUGAUCCACCCACC
ensembl:miRNA